CGCCGUCGACGAUCCGCGAGGAAGAGCUGCAUCAUCGAGUUGCCGUAUUCAGUCCGACCCCCGCAAAUUAUCAGGGUGCUUACUGGCACAUCUUUGUGUGUGCGUUUUUUUUUUGCGCGCCAGCCUCCGCCGUUUACAAGCUUACCUUCGCGCCAUGUCGAGCAGCGCAGGGGCGUCGUCCUCGCCCAUGUCAACCGAUCGCUGCUCCUUUUACUGUCCCGUGUGCAACAUUCAGUUUUCGGACUCGCACGCCGCAGAGGCGCACAAGGCCAGCCGCCAGCACAAACGGAAGAGCGGCGAGCUCGAGUGGGAAGCGCAGCAGUACAAGAAAGACGCCGAUGUGACCCCCGACGAUGUGUGGGCGCUCGUGCGGCGCAAGCAGGCCGAGCUCCACGUCAUCCCCUGGAGCGAGCUCAAGUACAGCGAGGAGGAGAGCACGGCAUGAGAGGGAACGGCGUGCCGCCUAGGUGCGCAUGUGUGUGGCCGUGCUAUGUGGCGCCACAGCAGCUCAGCCGGGUGCAGACAAGUGAGACGCUUUCCGCGCGAUUGGAGACGUGGUGAACGUCCCGGCACUGCCUUUUUUGUGUGUGUAUGUGUGUGUGGUGGCUUCCGUGCAUGUGGGCGUGUAUGAUUCAGCCCCGAGCACGCGGGCAUCUACGCAGGGAAAGGCCGAGGCAAGAGAAACAGAGGUGAGCGCGCACACAGAGAGAGCAGAUCUUCAGAGUGGUGCGGAGGUCUGCGGGAGAGAUGAGGCUCGGUGGAGCAGCAGCACGGUGGCACACCGCCUGCCGUCCAGCCGGUUUCGCUCACCGAACCCCCUCCGCAGACGGACAUCGCGCGGGAGCGAAAGGGCGAGCAUGCACGGGGUCGUGAGAGCAAAGUUUGCGCGCGCUGCGUUGCCAUGCCGUGCCUGUCGUGCUGCCCGCUCUAGCUUCCGCUGCUUGUGUUUCUUUUCGGCUGCAUCAUGUGCUACACCUUCCCCCCUCUCUCUGCCUCCGCCUCCGCUUCCGGACUCAG
rnacentral:misc_RNA from 1 species